rnacentral:rRNA from 1 species
AUUGAACGCUGGCGGCAUGCUUUACACAUGCAAGCCGAACGGCAGCGCGGGCUUCGGCCUGGCGGCGAGUGGCGAACGGGUGAGUAAUGCAUCGGAACGUGCCCAGGAGUGGGGGAUAGCCCGGCGAAAGCCGGAUUAAUACCGCAUACGACCUGAGGGUGAAAGCGGGGGACCGAAAGGCCUCGCGCUAUUGGAGCGGCCGAUGUCGGAUUAGCUAGUUGGUGGGGUAAAGGCUUACCAAGGCGACGAUCCGUAGCUGGUCUGAGAGGACGACCAGCCACACUGGGACUGAGACACGGCCCAGACUCCUACGGGAGGCAGCAGUGGGGAAUUUUGGACAAUGGGGGCAACCCUGAUCCAGCCAUGCCGCGUGCGGGAAGAAGGCCUUCGGGUUGUAAACCGCUUUUGUUCGGGAAGAAAUCCUCUGGGCUAAUACCCCGGGGGGAUGACGGUACCGGAAGAAUAAGCACCGGCUAACUACGUG